rnacentral:rRNA from 1 species
UACGAGGGGUCCAAGCGUUGUUCGGAAUCACUGGGCGUAAAGCGCAUGUAGGCGGCUCUACAAGUCAGGUGUGAAAUCCCACAGCUCAACUGUGGAACUGCAUUUGAAACUGUAGAGCUUGAAUAUGGAUGAGGAUGGUAGAAUUCCUGAUGUAGUGGUGAAAUGCGUAGAUAUCAGGAGGAAUACCGGUUGCGAAGGCGGCCAUCUGGUCCAAUAUUGACGCUGAGAUGCGAAAGUGCGGGGAUCAAACAGG